rnacentral:misc_RNA from 1 species
CAGAGUUGCAAAACUCCCUACAAACCAUCUGCUGAAUCCUUACCCGUAAACGGUUGCCUCGGCGCUGGCGGUCCGGAAGGCCCUCGGGCCCCCCCCUCGGGUCUCCCCUCGCGGGAGGCUGCCCGCCGGAGUGCCUAACCCAAACUCAUUGAUACUUUUAUGGCCUCUCUGAGUACUUCUGUACUGAAUAAGUCA